AAGAAGAAAGAGAAGAGAAAAAGAAGAGAAGAAAGAAAAGAGAGAAAAUGGAGAAAAGAAAAGAGAGAAAGAAGAAAGAAAGGAAGAAGGGAGAGAACGUAGAGAGAGAGGAGUAGAGAACGAUGAAGGUGGCUGGAAAAGUGGCCACUGGUGAAUAAAACUCCUGUGAUCGGAAAGAAUGGAGAAAGAUCAAGCAUAUGGGAGGGAGGCAAGCGAGGGCAUCGUUAGAGGAUUUCAAUCUUUUUUUGGCUUAAGGGUUAAGCUCCAAAAUAGUCAAGAAGGAGAUCGUGCAAAUGAGUGAAUCUCAUUCAAGAUUGAGCCAUACGACUUCAUUUCAUCAUAUGUGUCAUAGUUGUGUUUUAUUUUCCGUUGCAAAGUUUAUGUUUCUUCAUCAUGUAUUUAUUUCAUGUUUUAGAUUAUAAAAGAUAUGGAAAAAUGUGAAACUAUACGUUUCAUUU